ACUUGUAGACUACUAGUUUGAUAGGUCGUAGAUGUAAGCACAGUAAUGUGUUCAGUUGAACGAUACUAAUAGACCGAGGGCUUGAACUG
rnacentral:rRNA from 1 species